rnacentral:rRNA from 1 species
GACGAACGCUGGCGGCGUGCUUAACACAUGCAAGUCGAACGGUGAAGCGCCUUCCUUUUUGGUGGGUGUGGAUGAGUGGCGAACGGGUGAGUAACACGUGAGUAACCUGCCCCCUUCUUCUGGAUAACCGCAUGAAAGUGUGGCUAAUACGGGAUAUUCUGGGUCUGUCGCAUGAUGGGUCUGGGAAAGAUAUUGUUUCGGUGGGGGAUGGGCUCGCGGCCUAUCAGCUUGUUGGUGGGGUGAUGGCCUACCAAGGCGGUGACGGGUAGCCGGCCUGAGAGGGUGGACGGUCACACUGGGACUGAGACACGGCCCGGACUCCUACGGGAGGCAGCAGUGGGGAAUAUUGCACAAUGGGCGCAAGCCUGAUGCAGCGACGCCGCGUGAGGGAUGGAGGCCUGCGGGUUGUGAACCUCUUUCGCCAGUGAAGCAGGCCUGCCUCGUUUGUGGGUGGGUUGACGGUAGCUGGAUAAGAAGCGCCGGCUAACUACGUG